GAGCGGAAUUCGGCUAUACAUGUUUUAAAAGGACAUAAUAUAUACGAUUUUCGUAAAAAUUUGAUAUUAAAGUUCUUAUAAAAAAAAAGUAUUAAUUGUUUACCUCUACUCUUUAUACCUUAAAUGUGAAUACACUUUUGAUUUUUAACAACCGAUUCGAAUAGAAAAUCUUAUUCUUCAUAUGCCAAUAUGCAUACGUGUAAUACAUAACAAAAUUAAAAAUUUCUUGUACCAACACAAGUCAAACAGUAUACUAUGUAGAUCAUAGGAGUAGGCAGAGGUUGUCAAUUUAUCAUUAAAAAUAGAUAGAAAGUUUAUAAACUUUCUCUUAAUAUAUGAUUUAAGAUUUUAAUAAAUCUUUUUUUUUUCAUACCUAAUUGAAAAAAAAAAA